rnacentral:rRNA from 1 species
GACGUAGGGUGCGAGCGUUGUCCGGAUUUAUUGGGCGUAAAGCGCGUGUAGGCGGCUUGGCAAGUCCGCUGUGAAAACUCGAGGCUCAACCUCGAGAUGUCGGUGGAAACUGCCUGGCUAGAGUCCGGAAGAGGAGUGUGGAAUUCCUGGUGUAGCGGUGAAAUGCGCAGAUAUCAGGAAGAACACCUAUGGCGAAGGCAGCACUCUGGGACGGUACUGACGCUGAGACGCGAAAGCGUGGGGAGCGAACAGG